rnacentral:rRNA from 1 species
GACGAACGCUGGCGGCGUGCUUAACACAUGCAAGUCGAACGGAAAGGCCCUGCUUUUGUGGGGUGCUCGAGUGGCGAACGGGUGAGUAACACGUGAGUAACCUGCCCUUGACUUUGGGAUAACUUCAGGAAACUGGGGCUAAUACCGGAUAGGAGCUCCUGCUGCAUGGUGGGGGUUGGAAAGUUUCGGCGGUUGGGGAUGGACUCGCGGCUUAUCAGCUUGUUGGUGGGGUAGUGGCUUACCAAGGCUUUGACGGGUAGCCGGCCUGAGAGGGUGACCGGCCACAUUGGGACUGAGGUACGGCCCAGACUCCUACGGGAGGCCGCAGUGGGGAAUAUUGCACAAUGGGCGGAAGCCUGAUGCAGCAACGCCGCGUGCGGGAUGACGGCCUUCGGGUUGUAAACCGCUUUCGCCUGUGACGAAGCGUGAGUGACGGUAAUGGGUAAAGAAGCACCGGCUAACUACGUG